GCCCGGCUGGCUCACUUGGUGGAGCGUGUGACUCUUGAUCUCGCGGUUGUGAGUUCAAUCCCCAUGUUGCGUG
rnacentral:tRNA from 1 species